GUCGGAUGACUGAGCGCUGCUGACGCGAUCGGUGCAGGAGGAGGACAGAGCAGAUGCCAUGUGAAAAAGAGAGUGGGAGGAUAAGUACAAAGUGCACAUGGCCAAGACGCCACAAGCACACGGGAUCCUGAACGUAAUGAGAAGCAAUGAUAAGGGCCUCAUCAACAAACACUGCGUUACUGGGGGUCAAGGUCUUGGUGGAAUACAUCUGCUACACUGCUGCAGCAGAGCAGGUACAGAGACUCGCUACUGCCAAUACGUCCACAACAGACCGCUGUGAGCAUGAGAUCUGCUGUCAUUCGGAAUAACUGCAGAAUAAGUACGCUGCUGUCCAGAGCAGCUCGUCCGGCCCAGGCCGCGGUCACUGUGACUGAGUUACAGGCUGCAGAAGGAUUGUGGGUGAUCAGCUCGGUGCUGUGUGCGCUGAUACCAUUAAAUCAGCCCUUCUGCAUGUCAACACAGAGUGAAGCUCUCUGGCUCUUUUUCUCUCUGCCUGUAAACCCAAGUAAGCAUCGCGAGCAUGUGCAGUCUAGCAGAAACAUGUCUAAUUGAUCUGGGCUCAUUUCACUUGACUCCGCAGUUUUCACACAAGAGUUCACAACCUUCUCACCACAAGCCCUGCCCUGCCCUGCCUUAUAAUUAUCGGGGUACGACGCCUAAAAAUAAAAAUCUUGUGUGUGUGCAUA